AUUGAACGCUGGCGGCAGGCCUAACACAUGCAAGUCGAGCGGAUGAAGGGAGCUUGCUCCUGGAUUCAGCGGCGGACGGGUGAGUAAUGCCUAGGAAUCCCUGGUAGUGGGGGAUAACGUCCGGAAACGGGCGCUAAUACCGCAUACGUCCUGAGGGAGAAAGUGGGGGAUCUUCGGACCUCACGCUAUCAGAUGAGCCUAGGUCGGAUUAGCUAGUUGGUGGGGUAAAGGCCUACCAAGGCGACGAUCCGUAACUGGUCUGAGAGGAUGAUCAGUCACACUGGAACUGAGACACGGUCCAGACUCCUACGGGAGGCAGCAGUGGGGAAUAUUGGACAAUGGGCGAAAGCCUGAUCCAGCCAUGCCGCGUGUGUGAAGAAGGUCUUCGGAUUGUAAAGCACUUUAAGUUGGGAGGAAGGGCAGUAAGUUAAUACCUUGCUGUUUUGACGUUACCAACAGAAUAAGCACCGGCUAACUUCGUG
rnacentral:rRNA from 1 species